rnacentral:piRNA from 1 species
UGGCAGGGCCAGAGAGGCAGCAUGGU